rnacentral:rRNA from 1 species
GCUACAGGCUUAACACAUGCAAGUCGAGGGGCAUCAGGAAGAAAGCUUGCUUUCUUUGCUGGCGACCGGCGCACGGGUGAGUAACACGUAUCCAACCUGCCCUUUACUCGGGGAUAGCCUUUCGAAAGAAAGAUUAAUACCCGAUGGCAUAAUGAUUCCGCAUGGUUUCAUUAUUAAAGGAUUCCGGUAAAGGAUGGGGAUGCGUUCCAUUAGGUUGUUGGUGAGGUAACGGCUCACCAAGCCUUCGAUGGAUAGGGGUUCUGAGAGGAAGGUCCCCCACAUUGGAACUGAGACACGGUCCAAACUCCUACGGGAGGCAGCAGUGAGGAAUAUUGGUCAAUGGGCGCUAGCCUGAACCAGCCAAGUAGCGUGAAGGAUGAAGGCUCUAUGGGUCGUAAACUUCUUUUAUAUAAGAAUAAAGUGCAGUAUGUAUACUGUUUUGUAUGUAUUAUAUGAAUAAGGAUCGGCUAACUCCGUGCCAGCAGCCGCGGUAAUACGGAGGAUCCGAGCGUUAUCCGGAUUUAUUGGGUUUAAAGGGAGCGUAGGUGGACUGGUAAGUCAGUUGUGAAAGUUUGCGGCUCAACCGUAAAAUUGCAGUUGAUACUGUCAGUCUUGAGUACAGUAGAGGUGGGCGGAAUUCGUGGUGUAGCGGUGAAAUGCUUAGAUAUCACGAAGAACUCCGAUUGCGAAGGCAGCUCACUGGACUGCAACUGACACUGAUGCUCGAAAGUGUGGGUAUCAAACAGGAUUAGAUACCCUGGUAGUCCACACAGUAAACGAUGAAUACUCGCUGUUUGCGAUAUACAGUAAGCGGCCAAGCGAAAGCAUUAAGUAUUCCACCUGGGGAGUACGCCGGCAACGGUGAAACUCAAAGGAAUUGACGGGGGCCCGCACAAGCGGAGGAACAUGUGGUUUAAUUCGAUGAUACGCGAGGAACCUUACCCGGGCUUAAAUUGCAGUGGAAUGAUGUGGAAACAUGUCAGUGAGCAAUCACCGCUGUGAAGGUGCUGCAUGGUUGUCGUCAGCUCGUGCCGUGAGGUGUCGGCUUAAGUGCCAUAACGAGCGCAACCCUUAUCUUUAGUUACUAACAGGUUAUGCUGAGGACUCUAGAGAGACUGCCGUCGUAAGAUGUGAGGAAGGUGGGGAUGACGUCAAAUCAGCACGGCCCUUACGUCCGGGGCUACACACGUGUUACAAUGGGGGGUACAGAAGGCAGCUAGCGGGUGACCGUAUGCUAAUCCCAAAAGCCUCUCUCAGUUCGGAUCGAAGUCUGCAACCCGACUUCGUGAAGCUGGAUUCGCUAGUAAUCGCGCAUCAGCCACGGCGCGGUGAAUACGUUCCCGGGCCUUGUACACACCGCCCGUCAAGCCAUGGGAGCCGGGGGUACCUGAAGUACGUAACCGCAAGGAUCGUCCUAGGGUAAAACUGGUGACUGGGGCU